CUGAAGGUGUACACGUAUUGGGACACCCCUCCACCAGCCUAAUCUUAUUCCUUUUCUCCUCUCUUUCUCUCUCAGCCAAGAAACAACCUAGUGGGCUGUUGGAGCUGAAUUCUUGAUGUUGGCAGCUUGGGGAUUUGUAGGCUGAGGUUGUGAGACCUGAUUCAAGCAGGGAGUUAAUUGGAGAAGCUUCAAAAAUUAAAGACUUGAGAGCUGAUUAGGACUGGCAGACUUGGUGUCUUCGGCUUGGUGGAGUGGCCGAGCUGAGAGAGGAUGCUAUUGGAGUUGAAGUAACCUGGCGUAACACUUAAUUAAGAUUUGUGAGCUGAAAUCAAGUUGAUAGAUGUUCUUGGUACUGCCGAAAUGCAGGGAUGGCCUAUUUGAUGCAGUGAGCAAGUUAAUUUAGCAUCAAACUAUAAUUUGGGGCUACCAAGUGGAGUUGAUACCUUGAGUGGGUUCUUGAUGCUUCAAGCUGAAAUUAAUUAGAAGAAGUAUCUAAUUAAGGAUUAGAGCUUGGUAAACUAGUUGUAGAACGCAGCGGAAGUUUUCGGUUCGUACCUUUUUGCGGAAGCGAUUCAGAUUACAACUCGAUGAGCCCGGAUCGUCGAGGUUCCAGUGCGAGCGUUGUGGCCGAGGAUCGCGGCAAGAGCCCUGCAGCCUAGCUAGCAGACACCAGUGUUUAGUGGUAUCCCAUUUUGAGUUCAUGUGAGACAUUUUGAUGUACAGAGACAUGUAAAU